ACAUGAACAUAUAUAUAACUCGCUAACAUAUAACAGGGGGAAGAAACAUAAUUAUGUGAUGAGAGAAAGAAGCUUCACAUCACCAACAUAUAUGUCAAAGGGACAAAGCUAGCACUGAUCACACAUAACAUGCACUAUAUCUUACAAGUACGAUACUGAACAAAUAUCAGGUUGCAAGAUCUUAUCAAAUCUGAAUAUUACAUGUACUACACGUCUCAAAUUUCAGAAAAUUCAGAGAUUAGAGGGAGAAAGAGAGAUAGCAGCAGCAAGAUUGAGGAGAGAGCAUCAACAAAGGGAGGUUGAGAGAGAGAUUCAGCAGAGGGUGUUGGAGAAGGAGAAGCAGCAGGGGGUGUAGCAAUAGAGAAGCAGCAAGGGGGCGCUGAGAGAAGAAGAGGCGCAAGGAGAGAGGUUGAGAGCAGCAGCAGCGGCAGGUAGAAGAAGUUGAGCGGAGGAGGAGCAGCAGUAGGGACGAGGGGAGGAGCAGCAGCGAAGGGGUUGAGAGAGAGAGAGAGACAGCAGGAGGUUGGAGUUCGGAGCAGCAGCAGCGUGGAGAGUUGAGAGAGCAGCAGCAGAGAAAUAGAAGAAGGAGCAGUAGCUUGGGCGCAAGAAGAGCAGCAGGGCGCAUAGGAAGAAGGAGCAGCAGCAGGUUGCAUGGAAGAAGGAGCAGCAGCAGGGGACGUUGAGAGAGAAGAGGAGCAAGAUCGGGGCAGCAAGGAGGAGAGAGGCGCUUGGUGCUGAUGGCGGCAGUGGCUGGAGAUGGUGGCGCUAGUGGAGUGGUGGAUGGAGGCUGCUGGUGGUGGGUAUGCUGGUGGAUGGAUGGGUGACGGAGGCGCACCACCACGUCGGCCUGGCCAUGGCGGCGGCCGGAGUUGGAUAAGGAGGGGUGAGGGAGAGAGAGAUGUGCCAGGCCCGAUUGGAUCCCUCCAGCGCCUAGGGAUUUUGUUCCCCUCCUCUCAUCUGCACUUUGUGAUUUGGCCCUCUUACUUCUCUUCUUUCUUCACAAGAAGAUCCUCCCACUUCUUCAGCUUGCCCCUGGUAACUUCUUUUCUUCUCUCUCGGGUCCUUGACUCCAUCACUUGAUCUUUUGUAGUAGAAGGAUUUUGUGCCUUGUCACACUUUUCUGCAAAAUAAACAAGUGACUAGUCAACAAUCCUUUUAUAUGAUUUUCAUUCAAUUAUUCCAUAUUUAAAACAAGAAUUGGUGGUCAGAACUCAACAAAUGGUAUAUUUGUAUGCCAAAAUUAUGUAUAAGAAAUGUGCUUAUCAAGUUCCCCCACACCUAAAUCUUUACUUGUCCUCAAGUAAAGGCAUAUGACAAGGGCAAGAUGGUGAAUAGUGACCUGACUAGAGAACGCCAAGUGAAGUAGAUCUCCAAACUAUGCAUGCUUUGGACUUAGUUAGUGAGAAUCAAUGGUUAAAAGUGUUACAAAGCAGUAGGAUACUAGUAGACUCAAUCAUUUUAAAAUUCUACAAUGGUAAAAGAAGAUCAACAAGUUCAAAUGAUGAUUGUGCCAAAUGGUUCCUAAAGAGAGCAUGAUCCCAAGAACAAAGCUUGUGAUCAAAUCACUUAUUUACAGAAAUAAAGCAAUGAUAUUAUUAUUACUAGCAAAAAGGCUCAUGCGUUGCAACGGGAGAAAAAAAUCCUCUCAUAUCUCUAGCUGGGUCAGUUGGACAAACUGUGUGUGGCCGGUUCGCAGGUUACGAGAUCGAACCUGUCAUCGGCAAUUCUAUUUUGUGCCAGCUCUCGGACCUGGGCCUCAGUGCGUCGCCAGGUGGGCAUUCUCCGUUGGGCCAAAACGGGUGGCAAGUAACGAAACCAAAUAGCGUACGUGAAAUUAAUUGAAGCGGGACCAAACGAAGCGGGACGAAACCAAGAAUAUCACCUCCCUUUAAUAGUAAAUUAGUCUCACCAAAGGAACAUACCACCGAUCCCGAGAACAUGGUAUACACCCGGCUCAACUAAUUAUUAGUUUUAGUUUUGUUUGUCUCCCCAAAGGAACAUACCACCGAUCCAGAGAACAUGGUAUACACCUGGUUCGACAAUUACAAUGUUUUUAAUAUAAUUAACUCUUAUCCAAUCCAACCAUAUUUCACAAGCCACCGAUCCAGGGAACAUGACAUGCUACUGUUAGGUAAGAUCAGAUAAUUAUUCAUUAUAAGAUUUUUUUUAAUGAACAACACAUAAGCACAAAAAACAGGAAUCCUCACUUCUCCAUGUCUGGUUCACAUGCUACCGAUCCAGGGAACAUAGCAUGCUAAUCCAUAGUGGUUAGGUGAUUGCUCUAAAUGGGAACACACUUGGCACAAAUUCGGCAUCUAAACAUGGUAAUCUAGGUGUAUCAUAGUAAAUGCAGAAAAUGACAUAGUUUACUAGUGCACUAGGGAUUUGAGCACUCAAAACUAAUAGUUCUCACUAAUUUCAGCAAAGCACGCAUGGUGUAGAUCACUAGUUUACAAGGCAUUCAACAAUCAGUUCGCAUAUUCUCAUCAAGCACCAUAUGUCAAAGGUGAAAUUCAGUGGGACAACAUUUAAGAAAUGGCACAAGCAACCCAAAUAAAAAUUUAAUUCAGCAAGCAUCAAUGGAUGAUGAUUUCAAAAUGGGUCAUGAAACAGCUCACCAGGCUUUGAUGAUGUAGCACUCGCUCGAUCACCUCACCAACUGCAGCUCCUCUCCUUUUGCUUCCUCAUACAUGCUCCAGCUUCACUCUUCCUCAUGUGUGCACAUUGCUUCUCCUCAUCACCAUGCCGUGAAUCCACCAGGAUCCCAUGGGAUGUCAUCUCGAACUUGGUCAGCCCGCAAUGAAUGGUGCACAAGCGUAAACCUGAAAGAACACUCAACAAACAAGCCAAAACAAGUGAUAGGGACAAUGCCCUCCAAGUCAUCAAUAGAGUAUCCUAUCACAUAAGCAUAUCUAUUGAGCAUAUCAUACACAUGUAUCAUCAAUUCACUUGGUGCAUAGGUAAUAUCAACGAUAUGACAUAACUUGUCGAGAAAGCUAAGAUAAUACCUGGGAUGAUCUGAGAGAAGUUUUAGGACUACCUUAGUUGAAGAUACUAUGGAAGGCAUGGUAGUAGAAACUUCCACCAGACUCGUGUCAACAAGUGAAAUAUUAGAGUUUGGCUUCUUGACAUCUAGAUCAACCUCAUCAUAAUCAACAAUGCAGGUUUCCAUCUCAGGCUCAAGUGUUGAGGAAUCAAUGUGGCUAAUGUCAUCAAAGGUGAACUUCUCCAUAUCUGGCUCUAGCAGCACAUGAUCAAUAUCAACUAAAGGUGACUCCUCAAUAUAAAAAACAACUAACUGCAGCUCUGGCUCAUCCAUGGAAGAAUCAUCACAAUGCAAAACUAAAUCUCCAACACUAGUAUCCAUAUGAUCUGAAGUGUGUGUGUCAACUAGGAUGGUGUCAUCAUCAUCAUCAAAGAUAAUCCAUGAAAGCUCAAUCUUGUUACACGGAGAAACUGGUUCCGACUUUUGUGUAAGAGAUUCUUGCUGAGAUGAAGUGAUUUGUUGCAAACAAGCAACUGAAUCAGAGAUGGGCUUCUCAUUGUACCACUGAAGUUGGUGGAAGGCUAUACUCUCAAUCAGCAGAAAAGCAUCAUCAAGUGUCUUGUUUGUAAUAGCUCCACCCGCUGCCAUAUCGAUGUAAGCUCGAGUGUCCGAAGUCAAUCCUCUAUAGAAUAUCUGCAACUCUAACCAUCUCUCGAGCCCGUGGUUAGGACAUCUCCUGAAUAAAACCUUGUAUCUCUCCCAAGCAUCAUACAAGCUCUCGUAUUCACGCUGAAUGAAAUUGAAGAUCUCAUCUCGAAUCACAGACUGCUUGUGUAGUGGGAAAUAUCUAUCCAAGAAAGCUCGUGAUAUCUCAUUCCAACUGUAUGACCUUGAUGGCAAGGAUCGAUACCAAGCAUGAGUAUCAUCACGGAGAGAGAAUGUGAACAACCUGCACAUGAUUGCAUCUUGAGGAACUCCAUGGUACUUGACUGUAUCUGAAUACUCCAUGACUCGGUGUAAGUGCUCAUAGGGAUCCUCAGUAGGCAGUCCUCCAAACUGUUGUUGUUGAACCAAAGCAAUAAGACUAGGUUUCAGCUCGAAGUUCUCUGCCUCAAUAGUUGGCCAAAUCGGUCCUGUGAUAUAGCACUGACUUUUGGGCAUCCAAAGAUCACGAAGCAAUGCCAUCUUAACCGAGUGUAACUAUACCUGCAAUUAGUUCAGAUUUCCUACAAACACUCAUAAACAGUAAACACUGGUCAGAAAGUUAGUAUCCUAAUAAGCCGAAGCAACAAAAAGUAAAAAGGUAAAAGAAGCACAGAAAUCAAUUUGAAUGGAAAUUUAAACAAAAACUAAACUAAGCCUAGUCUAUAGCUUCACACAAUCGUUCGACGCUAGUCCCCGGCAACGGCGCCAAAAUGAUCAAUCGAAAGUAUAGUGGGGUUUUUACGACCAAACUACGGAUGUCGUGUUCUCCACAGGGACUAGGCAAAUCGAUGAUCGUGCUUGGCUAAAGCUAGGUAACACAAUUCAGCUUAUGAAUGCAAACAUAAAACCUAAACUAUCAAUGAUUGUCGCCAAAGAAAAUGCAGAUAAGCAAAGGUAGAUUCAGAUUUUACUUGAUGUAUUUUUUUGGUGUUUUUGUUUUAGUUGAGAAAUAAAAUGCUAACACAAGCAAACAUCAAUGGCUAGGGAAUUAAAAAGACAUGAACAUAUAUAUAACUCGCUAACAUAUAACAGGGGGAAGAAACAUAAUUAUGUGACGAGAGAAAGAAGCUUCACAUCACCAACAUAUAUGUCAAAGGGACAAAGCUAGCACUGAUCACACAUAACAUGCACUAUAUCUUACAAGUACGAUACUGAACAAAUAUCAGGUUGCAAGAUCUUAUCAAAUCUGAAUAUUACAUGUACUACACGUCUCAAAUUUCAGAAAAUUCAGAGAUUAGAGGGAGAAAGAGAGAUAGGAGCAGCAAGAUUGAGGAGAGAGCAUCAACAAAGGGAGGUUGAGAGAGAGAUUCAGCAAAGGGUGUUGGAGAAGGAGAAGCAGCAGGGGGUGUAGCAAUAGAGAAGCAGCAAGGUGGCGCUAGAGAGAAGAAGAGGCGCAAGGAGAGAGGUUGAGAGCAGCAGCGGCGACAGGUAGAAGAAGUUGAGCGGAGGAGGAGCAGCAGUAGGGACGAGGGGAGGAGCAGCAGCGAAGGGGUUGAGAGAGAGAGAGAGAGAGACAGCAGGAGGUUGGAGUUCAGAGCAGCAGCAGCGUGGAGGGUUGAGAGAGUAGCAGCAGAGGAAUAGAAGAAGGAGCAGUAGCUUGGGCGCAAGAAGAGCAGCAGGGGCGCAUAGGAAGAAGGAGCAGCAGCAGGUUGCAUGGAAGAAGGAGCAGCAGCAGGGGACGUUGAGAGAGAAGAGGAGCAAGAGCGGGGCAGCAAGGAGGAGAGAGGCGCUUGGUGCUGAUGGCGGCAGUGGCUGGAGAUGGUGGCGCUAGUGGAGUGGUGGAUGGAGGCUGCUGGUGGUGGGUAUGCUGGUGGAUGGAUAGGUGACGGAG
rnacentral:lncRNA from 1 species